rnacentral:rRNA from 1 species
UUGCAAACCAAAGCUGGCGACCGGCGCACGGGUGAGUAACACGUAUCCAACCUGCCUCAUACUCGGGGAUAGCCUUUCGAAAGAAAGAUUAAUAUCCGAUAGCAUAUAUUUCCCGCAUGGGUUUUAUAUUAAAGAAAUUCGGUAUGAGAUGGGGAUGCGUUCCAUUAGUUUGUUGGGGGGGUAACGGCCCACCAAGACUACGAUGGAUAGGGGUUCUGAGAGGAAGGUCCCCCACAUUGGAACUGAGACACGGUCCAAACUCCUACGGGAGGCAGCAGUGAGGAAUAUUGGUCAAUGGACGCGAGUCUGAACCAGCCAAGUAGCGUGAAGGAUGACUGCCCUAUGGGUUGUAAACUUCUUUUAUAUGGGAAUAAAGUUGUCCACGUGUGGAUUUUUGUAUGUACCAUAUGAAUAAGGAUCGGCUAACUCCGUGCCAGCAGCCGCGGUAAUACGGAGGAUCCGAGCGUUAUCCGGAUUUAUUGGGUUUAAAGGGAGCGUAGGCGGAUUGUUAAGUCAGUUGUGAAAGUUUGCGGCUCAACCGUAAAAUUGCAGUUGAUACUGGCAGUCUUGAGUGCAGUAGAGGUGGGCGGAAUUCGUGGUGUAGCGGUGAAACGCUUAGAUAUCACGAAGAA